rnacentral:rRNA from 1 species
UACAGAGGUCUCAAGCGUUGUUCGGAUUCAUUGGGCGUAAAGGGCGCGUAGGCUGCGGGGUAAGUCGGGUGUGAAAUCUCAGAGCUCAACUCUGAAACUGCACUCGAUACUGCUUUGCUUGAGGACUGGAGAGGAGAUUGGAAUUCACGGUGUAGCAGUGAAAUGCGUAGAUAUCGUGAGGAAGACCAGUGGCGAAGGCGGAUCUCUGGACAGUUCCUGACGCUGAGGCACGAAGGUCAGGGGAGCAAACGGG